rnacentral:rRNA from 1 species
AACGAACGCUGGCGGCAUGCCUAACACAUGCAAGUCGAACGAGACCUUCGGGUCUAGUGGCGCACGGGUGCGUAACGCGUGGGAACCUGCCCUUAGGUUCGGAAUAACUCCCCGAAAGGGGUGCUAAUACCGGAUAAUGUCUUCGGACCAACGAUUUAUCGCCUUUGGAUGGGCCCGCGUUGGAUUAGCUGGUUGGUAGGGUAAAAGCCUACCAAGGCGACGAUCCAUAGCUGGUCUGAGAGGAUGAUCAGCCACACUGGGACUGAGACACGGCCCAGACUCCUACGGAAGGCAGCAGUGGGGAAUAUUGGACGAUGGGCGAAGGCCUGAUCCAGCAAUGCCGCGUGAGUGAUGAAGGCCUUAGGGUUGUAAAGCUCUUUUACCCGGGAUGAUAAUGACAGUACCGGGAGAAUAAGCUCCGGCUAACUCCGUG